GUCCGAAGAGGCCACAGGAAGGGCUGCAGUUGUUAACUCGGGAACUAUCAGACGUUGCAUAGCAAGCACCAUUCACAAUGUUGGUGGAAAAAAUGCAGGAAGGUAACACAAGCCAGAAGGUCGAGUCAAUUAGGAGCAAAGGUGAAAUCACUCCUGCUUCUGGAUCAUCUUCAUUUCUAGACCACCAUUCACUGUUUGAAAUGACAGCAUUUGCUUGUCAGUUCUGCAGUUGUUCACACUCAACAUACAGGUUUUGCUCAAAUGUUGCUGUUUCUCCCUCUGCACAUCAGAGAACUGCCUUUCUCUCUGCCCAUAAGACUAAUACGCUCCUCCUGACCCUCACGUCACACACACUUUUCCUCUGCACUGCACUGAAAGAACUGCUGUGCAUGUGGUAUUUACUAAACCAUGCCUAACCUCUUUCAAUCUAGUUAUUGGCUAUCCCUCUUCUUUAACAUCCUUUUGUUCUUUCUUUCGUGGUUCUCCAUAACUAUUUCUCCAAUUUACCUUGCCUUGCCCUGUAUCUCUUGGUCACAAAAUACUGAGCCCUCUGAGAUUGUUGUCUUCUCUAGUAUAAUUGUCUCUGUUUGUACUACUCUUUUCUUUUUGGACGGAAUGCUGUUUUUGGGUUAGCUUGCUCAUCAACUUUACUCCCUCUGCUUGAUUUUAUUUUAAAGAACUGUUUCUUCCAUGACAUUUACGAUAAAGUAGACGGAUAAAACGGUUAGGUUAGGUUAGGUUAGGUUAGGUUUAAGGGCAUUUUCAUCAACCAAACAGCAAGAGUGAUCAGCCACCACAGAAGGCACUGUGUGCGAUAUUCAGAAGCACCUCCAGAAGUUAGUUAAAGCAGUAAGAACAUGCAGAAACUAAUACUUCAGCACGGAAGCGGUUCACUUUAAUUGUUUAAAUGUUUUCCUUAUUGAUUCAAGCAAACAAAAAGUGGAUACAGACUCAGUCUUGUUAGCACUUACAGCAAGUCACUUUAAACCACACCUCACUGCUGUGUCUACAUUAUAGCAUGUUGCUGACACAGCGAUGUAAGGAUAAGCAUGAAAAAGCACACUCCCUCGCUUACACAACUUUAUCAGCAAAUCCUCCCUGUGUGAGUCUAGCUAAGCUAGCACAGGAGUGCUGUUGACAGCUCAGUUAAUUUUCUUUAGCAUCAAUCUAUACCCUCCUGUGUCAUGAGAAAAGCUGUACUGUAUAUACACCAUACCUCCACAGAAAACUCUACCUGUAUAAGUAUACCAGCACAGCUACAUUUGCUGAAACUCUCUACAACAGAUGAGCUAAAAAACAAAUUGUUGGAACUGAAUGCCCACUGAAAUACCUGCAUAUAUAACUCACCAGGUACCACACUAAAGAAUAAAUAUCCUACUGUCUACUUUGCUCA
rnacentral:lncRNA from 1 species